AGGUAGCAGUGUCACUUUACCUAUCAACAUUUCAUUGUGUGAACCCUGUGACAGUGCUUGUGAGGAAGGUAAGCAAUUGCUUUCGAAUCAUUUGAACUCUGUUUUUACGAAUAGGAUUUAUCCUUUCUUGGGCUGACAAGAAUGCAUAGAAUUAUUCGUACGCAGAUCAAUUUUAAAAAGCUAAAAACAGUUUAGGCAAAACGAAGAAGAAAACAAAAACACUAGUUAUCUUUUUUGUUCAAUAACACGCAUCUCAUUGAAAACUUAGACCUGUUCCAUUUACUUUUAACUAUAAUUUAAUGUUUAGUGAAGAAAUAUAUUAAUUUUGAAAAGUAUCACACUGAUACAUAAACAAAUUCAUCAUAGACGUCUUAAUGACAUGUGUGUCACGUUUUGUUGUUCAAUCAUUCAGCAAACAGUCGGGAACCUUAUUAAUUAAGUUUAUAUUCAACUGUUCGUUUGUGUAGCCCACUGUUAUACAUUCCUACCAGAACACAUCCACUACAUUUGAGGACUCUCCAAUUUGACGUUUUCCGUCAUAUCAGCUAACAAAUUUGACUUCGUUAUAAUAUUAGCAUAGAUUUGCCAUUUCAAGAUGAUCUAUUCGUUUGUUUCCAAUAUACAUUAUUUUGAUAGUAAUUGUUUACAUUCUCUACCCAUUGAUAAUAUAAUUCAAAAUUUUUAAGUUUUUUUUUAUCCAAAUCGAUAAUUUUUAUUUAAGAGGAUUGUUGUUUUAAACAAUUAGGUCCAUCAAAAGGAAUCGGAAAAUAUUGACCUGUUUACACCACAAAAUCUACUAGUAGGUAUAAACAAACUGAUGCAUCUGGGAAAGUAUGAAAGCAUGACAGGACCUAUCUAUAUAUUACACCGGCCUGUGACACCAUGAUAAUCAUUUAUUAAUUUUAUUUAUUACAUUUGUCGCAGCAACUACAAUGAAGACAUCAUUAGAGACAACAAAGAUAACCACACUGCCUUCUACUUCUACUGACAUGGACAUUACAACAGAUAUAACAUCAACAGAAAGUACACGGAAAACAUCAAAACAAUCCACUGCUACUGAAAUUGGCACUACGACAGAUAUGAUAUCAACAGAAACAACACACAUAACAACGUUAGCAUCCACUGCUAUUGAAAUUGACAAUACAACGAACAUGAAAGCAACAACAACAGCACCUAAAACAAAAUUACAAACAACUUCUACUCCUACUCAGAAAGAAAGUAUAACAGAAUUGGUAUUAAUGACAACAACAUCAAAAACAACGUUAUCUGCAACUUCUACUGAAAUUGACACUACGAUACAACUAACGUCAACGGAUACAACACAAACAACUGUCGUGCAUUCUAAUGUUACUGAUAUAAAAAGAUCAAAGCAAACAACAACUUCAUCUGGGAUACAGAUAAAGAGACCACAACAACGUUGAGAUUCACAACAACAGAUUUGAGAGACGAAACGACAUUGCAAACUAAAUCUACAAGUAAAUAUCUCAAUAUUACCCUUUCUAUCUUAAUUCAAAGUCUAAUAAUCAGAACUUAUUUAUAAACUAACUUCAUAAGGCAACAUUCAUCUGGCGACGAAACACCACUAUGAAAAAUAAGAGAACAUAAUUCUGAAAGUUGGAAGCAGUCAGUUCAUUAAUUACAAAUACAGUGAAAAUAAAGUAACUAUAUAUAUAUACAACUCGUCUAAACAUCAACCCAACAAUGUUAGAUCAGUAAAUUUUCUUUCGCAAAUUUUUGGUUCUUCCCUCGCCGGGAUUCGAACCCAUGCUACUGUGAUAUCGUGACACCAAAUCGCCUGCACUGCAGCCGUCCCGCUAGACCACACGACCACCUGGGCUCUUAUUAAAAGAGCUUUAGCUGGCCGUGUGUUACCUAGUUGUAUAUAUAUAUAUAUAUAUAUAUAUUGUUCAUCAAUGUAGGUUUUUCAAGUCUUGAAAGAUCAGGAAAUUUUAUCUUUAUGUUAUCCAUUUAACAUGUUUAAAAGAGAGUUUAAUUGUUCAGUAAAUGAAAAAUUAUGUCCUGAUCAGUCAAGUUCAUAAUGUAUCCACUGCGGAGAUGUGAAAGACAUUGUGUUUUACUCGUGAUAUAUAUGUGGUCAGAUUGGUCAAUAGGUUUUAACUGAAAUGACAAAAAAAUCAGCAUUGUAAAGUGUCUCCAAAGCUAAUGAACAUAGGGCUAAAACUAAACAGUAUUGAACGACGAAGAGAAUAUCUGUCAACUUUAAAAAUACUUCAUGAUGUCAGGUACAGGAUUUCUACUAUUGUUAAAUCAAACAUAACCGUUUAAGAUUACAUCUUAAAUACACAUUUUAUAGAUACAGAAAACCUGAAACAAUAUAGUGCGCCUAUUAUACUAGCAGUAGUAGUAUGUCCUGGUUUUGUUAUUGUUAUAAUUGUUUUCGUUUUACUUAAAUAUGUUAAAAGACCUUCGAUAAUCAAUACUGACGAAAUUAUGUGAGUAUUUAUUUUCAUAAAACCGUAUUACAAAUAAUAACAUAUAUACAUAAACAUGCGCAGAAAACACGAAGAGUUCAUUGACUAUCGUUCACUUAAUACAUAUCACUGCUUUUUUACUUUAAUAUAAUGAAAUAUGUAUUAAGUCUAUUUGGUACUUUACAUGCAUUAAAGUAUGAGAACAGUAUGACGAUAAAGCGGUAUAGAUCAGUAUUUUUUUAUUUUUUUUGAAAACAUAUGCUUCCAAUAUAACUCAGUUUACGUCAUGUACUACAAAAAAUAUUCAAAUUCGGUAUCAAUACAUAAACUUGUAGGAAUCAAAUUCAUAUAUUGAUGUUGAAAACAUAGAUUUUCUGAAUUCUUUUAAUUUCAGUUUUGUAACCGUAACACUCCUACAUAGCAUUUCCUCGUUUGUGUGUGUGUUACAUUUUGUUGUCCUUUCCUCAUCCAUAAAAGAGGGAAGAAAGAUACCAGAGGGACAGUCAAACUUAUAAAUCGAAAAUAAACUGACAACGUCAUGGCUAAAAAUGAAAAAAAAACAGACAAACAAUAGUACAUAUAACACAACAUAGAAAACUGGGUAAUAAGCAACACGAACCCCGCAAAAACUAGGGGUGACCUCAGAUGCUCCGAAAGGGUGAACAGAUCCUGCUCCACAUGUGGCACCCGUCGUGUUACUUAAGUAAUAACAAAUCCGGUAAACAGUCUAAUUCGGUAGGUCACAUUCAUGAAAGAGAAAUAAUUAAAGUAAAUGGUAUUUGAAUUUCUGUUGUCUUUAUCAAUACUGUUUUCUUUUUCAGUAAAACCGAAACAAAAGAAGCAUGUGGCUCUUCCCGAAAAGAAAUCUUUAUAGUUUAUAAUUGCAAAGAUUAUGAGAAGAUUGUAAUUUAGGAAUGGCACUAUUAGUUUUUAUCCCGUGAAUAAUCUAAUAAUGUGACAAUUAUCUGUUUCAAACGUGUAUAAUGACUGAAUCAUGUCUUUAUUAUGGUGAUGCCAUACUGAUGGAUGGAAUGGCAGUUCACUAAUAAUACAUCUCUAUAUAUUUAUAAAACGUUAAAUGCAUAAUGUGUAUGUUAAACUAAUUAUUAAUAUAUAGGGCAUUGGUCUGUAUAAUAAAAGUUUACAAGGAACAAUGUAAUGCAAAAAAUAAAUGUCCUUUAUUC
rnacentral:lncRNA from 1 species